AGCAUCGUAGGCAAGUGGUUUAAGCCGCCGGGCUCAUAACCCGGAGAUCGGAGGAUCGAAACCUCCCGAUGCUA
rfam:Saitoella complicata NRRL Y-17804 DNA, contig: contig076, whole genome shotgun sequence.